rnacentral:rRNA from 1 species
CCUACGGGUGGCAGCAGUGGGGAAUAUUGGACAAUGGGGGAAACCCUGAUCCAGCGACGCCGCGUGAGUGAAGAAGUAUUUCGGUAUGUAAAGCUCUAUCAGCAGGGAAGAAAAUGACGGUACCUGACUAAGAAGCCCCGGCUAACUACGUGCCAGCAGCCGCGGUAAUACGUAGGGGGCAAGCGUUAUCCGGAUUUACUGGGUGUAAAGGGAGCGUAGACGGCACUGCAAGUCUGGAGUGAAAGCCCGGGGCUCAACCCCGGGACUGCUUUGGAAACUGUGGUGCUAGAGUGCAGGAGAGGUAAGUGGAAUUCCUAGUGUAGCGGUGAAAUGCGUAGAUAUUAGGAGGAACACCAGUGGCGAAGGCGGCUUACUGGACUGUAACUGACGUUGAGGCUCGAAAGCGUGGGGAGCAAACAGGAUUAGAUACCCCGGUAGUCAAGGGCGAAUUCCACAUUGGG